AUGGACGAUGAUGUUGUGUACAUGCUUUCUAAGACCUGCCCUGAGGACCAGAUGGAAGUGGUGAUUGCUGUUGAUAUGAGCAAGAAGACGCUUCAGGGAGUGGCUAAGCUUGUUACCGGAAAAGAUUUCACCGAUACACGUACCUGCACCAGUGAAAUCUCCAAAUAUCUUAGUAAAGAUGAAGGUAGAGCUUCAGCAAGGUGUUUCUCAGGCAGUGCAGGGACUUGUCCAAUUGGAUGUGCAUCUAUACCCUUGUGCCAAAUAACUUCAUUCGACAACCAGAAAACAAUAAGGUUGUAA
rnacentral:rRNA from 1 species